rnacentral:tRNA from 24 species
GCCUGGCUAGCUCAAUCGGUAGAGCAUUUGACUCUUAGAAUUAUUUCCAAAGUCAUCAAAAGGUUGCGGGUUCGAGCCCCGCGUUGGGCU